UCACCAGAUCCACGCCGGCAGCCACACACGCGCACCCAGACACACGUUUCACAGUCUGCAUGAAGGUUCACCCCGGCUUGAAAACGAACGGGUUUGCAAGCGCACUAACACAAAGAUUUCAGCUCUAUUUUGAAGUUCAGCUUGUGGCCCAAUGAGGCAGCGGAUUCAGAGCUUCUGGACCGAAAGGUGCCUGAUGACCACGGCUUAUCCUGUCUUCUUUUGUCUUUGCUUCGUAACACCAUCUGUGCCGUGCGCACGCAGGGCCCCGCACACGGCCGUCUCUCUCUGAAGGUUCAGUCCGUCAAAACGAGAAAAUAAUAAUUUUUUUUUCUUUCACAACAGCGAGAGAUGCAACUUCCUGUUAUGGAGUGUGGAAGAGCAAAUUGCCCUUUCUCUAAUUUGACAUUUAUUUCUGAUUGCUCACAAUUAGAUUCAGCAACCGACCAGCCAGAUUUAAUUUCCUUAUUUAGAGCCCUCCUGUGUUUUACAGGGUAGCAUAAAUGUAUAUAAAUUAUACGGAUGAAUGGAACAUGGAGCAGCAAUCUAUCUGGCAAAAGGAGAAGCUUUGAUAUUGCUUUCAGUUGGGUGUUAUUUAUGGGUAACUCUGCCCCCUGGAGGUUUUUUAUUGUAAUUGUAGAUUUUCAGUGAUGCAGAGAGUGACGGCUCAGUAACUUUUUGAGGCCUGGCUGGUCAGACUGACCUUAACGCCCUGGGCAGACUCACUGUACAAAUCACAGCGAGGGGAGUUUACGAUGCGUCACUCUUAGUGCCAGAAUCAUAAAGAAUUAAUAAUAAUUAUAAUAAUAAAUUGUUAAAAAAAAAUACCUAAAAAUAUUCAAAGUCAAAUCUUAAACCCAUUCAUAAAGUUAAAAAAAAUGCCGAGCCCUGUUAUUUAUAGUUUUUCAAGAGAAGUUUGAUGUAUUUAAAAUUGGCCGAUUAGCAAUUCACAAACUGAGAG